ACUUCCUUAGUAUAGCCAGUACGCCUGACUUCCAAUCAGCAAGCUCUAGUAAACCCUAGAAGAAAGUA
rnacentral:tRNA from 1 species